rnacentral:sRNA from 1 species
CUUGGAGCUGCGGUAACGGCCUGGGGCGUCCCCGAAUUCUGCGAGCACCCGGGCACCGAGGAUCGGGCCGAGGCCGGGUUGG